rnacentral:rRNA from 1 species
GGCGUGCUUAACACAUGCAAGUCGAACGGAAAGGCCCUGCUUUUGUGGGGUGCUCGAGUGGCGAACGGGUGAGUAACACGUGAGUAACCUGCCCUUGACUUUGGGAUAACUUCAGGAAACUGGGGCUAAUACCGGAUAGGAGCUCCUGCUGCAUGGUGGGGGUUGGAAAGUUUCGGCGGUUGGGGAUGGACUCGCGGCUUAUCAGCUUGUUGGUGGGGUAGUGGCUUACCAAGGCUUUGACGGGUAGCCGGCCUGAGAGGGUGACCGGCCACAUUGGGACUGAGAUACGGCCCAGACUCCUACGGGAGGCAGCAGUGGGGAAUAUUGCACAAUGGGCGGAAGCCUGAUGCAGCAACGCCGCGUGCGGGAUGACGGCCUUCGGGUUGUAAACCGCUUUCGCCUGUGACGAAGCGUGAGUGACGGUAAUGGGUAAAGAAGCACCGGCUAACUACGUGCCAGCAGCCGCGGUGAUACGUAGGGUGCGAGCGUUGUCCGGAUUUAUUGGGCGUAAAGGGCUCGUAGGUGGUUGAUCGCGUCGGAAGUGUAAUCUUGGGGCUUAACCCUGAGCGUGCUUUCGAUACGGGUUGACUUGAGGAAGGUAGGGGAGAAUGGAAUUCCUGGUGGAGCGGUGGAAUGCGCAGAUAUCAGGAGGAACACCAGUGGCGAAGGCGGUUCUCUGGGCCUUUCCUGACGCUGAGGAGCGAAAGCGUGGGGAGCGAACAGGCUUAGAUACCCUGGUAGUCCACGCUGUAAACGGUGGGUACUAGGUGUGGGGUCCAUUCCACGGGUUCCGUGCCGUAGCUAACGCUUUAAGUACCCCGCCUGGGGAGUACGGCCGCAAGGCUAAAACUCAAAGGAAUUGACGGGGCCCCGCACAAGCGGCGGAGCAUGCGGAUUAAUUCGAUGCAACGCGUAGAACCUUACCUGGGUUUGACAUGGAUCGGGAGUGCUCAGAGAUGGGUGUGCCUCUUUUGGGGUCGGUUCACAGGUGGUGCAUGGCUGUCGUCAGCUCGUGUCGUGAGAUGUUGGGUUAAGUCCCGCAACGAGCGCAACCCUUGUUCACUGUUGCCAGCACGUUAUGGUGGGGACUCAGUGGAGACCGCCGGGGUCAACUCGGAGGAAGGUGGGGAUGACGUCAAGUCAUCAUGCCCCUUAUGUCCAGGGCUUCACGCAUGCUACAAUGGCUGGUACAGAGAGUGGCGAGCCUGUGAGGGUGAGCGAAUCUCGGAAAGCCGGUCUCAGUUCGGAUUGGGGUCUGCAACUCGACCUCAUGAAGUCGGAGUCGCUAGUAAUCGCAGAUCAGCAACGCUGCGGUGAAUACGUUCCCGGGGCUUGUACACACCGCCCGUCAAGUCAUGAAAGUUGGUAACACCCGAAGCCGGUGGCCUAACCGUUGUGGGGGAGCCGUCGAAGGUGGGACUGGUGAUUAGGACUA